rnacentral:rRNA from 1 species
AGUGGCGGACGGGUGAGUAACGCGUGAGGAACCUGCCUUUCAGAGGGGGACAACAGUUGGAAACGACUGCUAAUACCGCAUGACACAUCGAAGCGGCAUCGCUUUGAUGUCAAAGAUUUAUCGCUGAAAGAUGGCCUCGCGUCUGAUUAGAUAGUUGGCGGGGUAACGGCCCACCAAGUCGACGAUCAGUAGCCGGACUGAGAGGUUGAACGGCCACAUUGGGACUGAGACACGGCCCAGACUCCUACGGGAGGCAGCAGUGGGGAAUAUUGCACAAUGGGGGAAACCCUGAUGCAGCAACGCCGCGUGAGGGAAGAAGGUUUUCGGAUUGUAAACCUCUGUCCCUGGUGACGAAGACAGUGACGGUAACCAGGGAGGAAGCCACGGCUAACUACGUGCCAGCAGCCGCGGUAAUACGUAGGUGACAAGCGUUGUCCGGAUUUACUGGGUGUAAAGGGCGCGUAGGCGGACUGUCAAGUCAGUCGUGAAAUACCGGGGCUCAACCCCGGGGCUGCGAUUGAAACUGACAGCCUUGAGUAUCGGAGAGGAAAGCGGAAUUCCUAGUGUAGCGGUGAAAUGCGUAGAUAUUAGGAGGAACACCAGUGGCGAAGGCGGCUUUCUGGACGACAACUGACGCUGAGGCGCGAAAGUGUGGGGAGCAAACAGGAUUAGAUACCCUGGUAGUCCACACCGUAAACGAUGGAUACUAGGUGUAGGAGGUAUCGACCCCUUCUGUGCCGCAGUUAACACAAUAAGUAUCCCACCUGGGGAGUACGACCGCAAGGUUGAAACUCAAAGGAAUUGACGGGGGCCCGCACAAGCAGUGGAGUAUGUGGUUUAAUUCGAAGCAACGCGAAGAACCUUACUAGGUUUUGACAUCGAUCUAAAAGGGAUGGAGACAUCCUCAUAGCUAUAGAGAAGACAGGUGGUGCAUGGUUGUCGUCAGCUCGUGUCGUGAGAUGUUGGGUUAAGUCCCGCAACGAGCGCAACCCCUGUCGCCAGUUACCAUCAUUAAGUUGGGGACUCUGGCGAGACUGCCUCUGCAAGGAGGAGGAAGGCGGGGAUGACGUCAAAUCAUCAUGCCCCUUAUGACCUGGGCCACACACGUGCUACAAUGGACGGGACAGAGGGAAGCGAAGGCGCGAGCCGGAGCGGACCCCAGAAACCCGUUCCCAGUUCGGACUGCAGUCUGCAACUCGACUGCACGAAGCCGGAAUCGCUAGUAAUCGCGGAUCAGAAUGCCGCGGUGAAUACGUUCUCGGGCCUUGCACUCACCGCCCGUCA